rnacentral:rRNA from 1 species
AUUGAACGCUGGCGACAGGCCUAACACAUGCAAGUCGAACGAGUGGCGGACGGGUGAGUAAUGUCUGGGAAACUGCCUGAUGGAGGGGUCUAACUACUGGAACCGGUAGCUAAUACCGCAUACCAUCAGAUGUGCCCCGAUGGGAUUAGCUUGUUGGUGGGGUAACGGAUCACCAAGGCGACGAUCCCUAGCUGGUCUGAGAGGAUGACCAGCAAUACUGGAACUGAGACACGGUCCAGACUCCUACGGGAGGCAGCAGUGGGGAAUAUUGCACAAUGGGCGCAAGCCUGAGGCAGCCAUGCCGCGUGUAUGAAGAAGGCUUUCGGGUUGUAAAGUACUUUCAGCGGGGAGGCGUUACCCGCAGAAGAAGAACAGGCUAACUCCGUGCCAGCAGCCGCGGUAAUAC